rnacentral:rRNA from 1 species
GAUGAACGCUGGCGGCGUGCUUAACACAUGCCAGUCGAACGGAAAGGCCCAAGCUUGCUUGGGUACUCGAGUGGCGAACGGGUGAGUAACACGUGGGUGAUCUGCCCUGCACUUCGGGAUAAGCCUGGGAAACUGGGUCUAAUACCGGAUAGGACCACUUCUUGGAUGUUGUGGUGGAAAGUUUUUUCGGUGUGGGAUGAGCUCGCGGCCUAUCAGCUUGUUGGUGGGGUAAUGGCCUACCAAGGCGUCGACGGGUAGCCGGCCUGAGAGGGUGUACGGCCACAUUGGGACUGAGAUACGGCCCAGACUCCUACGGGAGGCAGCAGUGGGGAAUAUUGCACAAUGGGCGCAAGCCUGAUGCAGCGACGCCGCGUGGGGGAUGACGGCCUUCGGGUUGUAAACUCCUUUCGCUAGGGACGAAGCGUUUUGUGACGGUACCCGGAGAAGAAGCACCGGCUAACUACGUG